UACAGAGGGGGCAAGCGUUAUUCGGAAUUAUUGGGCGUAAAGGGCGCGUAGGCGGCCUGGCAAGUGGAAGGUGAAAUCCCUCGGCUUAACCGAGGAACUGCCCUCCAAACUGCUUGGCUUGAGUCCGGGAGAGGUGAGUGGAAUUCCCGGUGUAGUGGUGGAAUGCGUAGAUAUCGGGAGGAACACCAGUGGCGAAGGCGGUUACCUGGAGCUUUGCUGACGCUGAUGCGCGAAAGCGUGGGGAGCGAUCCGG
rnacentral:rRNA from 1 species